UGGAAAGCUCCGAAAGAACCUCUAGGAAAGAGAAUCGCCAACUUGGUCAUGUGACUAGCUAUGCCGCGAUUGGCUGGCAUCAAUAUGUGCAGAUUUUGACAUGCGACGCCAGUGCAUUGACAGAUGUUGGUGGAUCAUGAGGCACCAUGCCAUCAAGUUGCACUGCAUACAAUUGUUCAAACAGAAGUGAUCAAGGCUAUGCAUUGGUAAGAUAUCCGCAUGAUGAAAGUUUAAAGAGAAAAUAGAUUGCUACAGUUGGAAGAAGCAAGAACUGGUCACCUAGUAGUUCUCAAAAACUUUGCGAGAUACAUUUUAAGCCAUCAGAAAUCGAAUUUGUUGCUAGACGCAAACGUGUAAAGUUUGAUGCAAUUCCAUCUCGUUUUUGUACGUGUUCUUCAAAAGAUCAAGAAAACUGUCGUAGAAAAUUAAGAAAAAUCUCGAAAAAUGAGAAUGGUUCUUAUCAGUGUCAAACUUUUGCUGACAAACACAAUGAUUGUUGCAUCGCUGUGCAACCUCUUAUCAAGACUAAUGAAAUAUUGGAUAAACCAGAGGAAUUCAUUGAAGAAAUACGCGGAGAGAAUGAUGUUGAGGAAAAUUGUUUCCUUUCUUCAACAAAUAUUGGACAAUAGAAAACAAUGAUCUUGUAAUUGUGGCAUAUAUAAAUUGAAAAAAUCUCUCUUUGUUAAAAACAGGUUUUAAGUACUUCCAACUACAUAAAGUAAAUAAAAAGAACUUAUCAUU